GGCCAUGCCGGGUCGGGUCGGGUCGGGUCGGGUCGGGUCUCAGCGCGAGGGAGCAGGGCGGGGCCCGGCAGGCGGCUUCGACGCGGCCGGGGGCGAGAGCGGCCCUUUCCCGCCGCUCACCCGCUGGGCUGGGCCGCGGGGCCCCCGUUAGAGCUCGGCUCGCCUCCCUCGCCGGCCGCCGCGGCCGCUGCCGCCGCCGCCGCCGCCGCCGCCGCCCCCGCCUCCUCCUCCGGCUGCCCGCGGUCCAGUGCGCGCGGCGAGACGGGCAGAAGAGCGAGCUGUGAAGGAGGGGCCUCGCGCCUGCGCAGCAGCACCUGCCCUUCCGGACACCCGGGAGGCGGGACGCCGGGCGCCUGGCGGGAGACUGCGCGAGGCAGCCGGGGCCCCGGGGACGGUUGGAGCGCCGCGAGGCCGAAGGAAAGGGCCAGGAGCGGGGGCGUCGCCGUCCUCCCCCGCCCCCUGCGGCCCGGCCCCUGCUCGGCCGGGCCACGCGCGCUCGCGUCGUCCCAGGCGCGGGCCGCUCCCUCGGGGGCCGCGGGCCGGCAGCUCGCCGCCGGGGCUUCGGCGGCGAUCGGGGGCCAGGAGCUCGGGCCGGGGCCCGCGGCCUCGGCGACGGCGGCGGGGAUGGGGAGCCGGCAGCUCGCCCUCGGGGCCCCGGAGCCCCGCCCCGGGCCGGCGGCCGUUAGCUUCAGCAGCAGCUACGGCGGCGGGCGCGGCGGGGACAGCAGCGGGCGCGGCGGGGACAGCAGCGGGCGCAGCGGCGGGCGCAGCAGCGGGCGCGGGCAGGGGCAUCUCAGAGCGGCCGGGAGUAGAGCGAGGCCGGAGCCCAAGCACCAGCGGCACAUCCCCCGGGGGAGCGGGAGCGGAGCUGCCCCGACGACGGGGACGGCGACCCGGAGGAGGAAGGGCGGGGGCGGCGUCGGCGCCAGCGAUAGGGGCCAAAGGGGCCUCGUGCCCGGCCGGGUCCCAGCGGCGGGUGGGUGCUGCCCCCUUUCCAGCUAG
rnacentral:lncRNA from 1 species